rnacentral:rRNA from 1 species
AUUGAACGCUGGCGGCAUGCCUUACACAUGCAAGUCGAACGGCAGCACGGGUGCUUGCACCUGGUGGCGAGUGGCGAACGGGUGAGUAAUAUAUCGGAACGUACCUUAUCGUGGGGGAUAACGCAGCGAAAGCUGCGCUAAUACCGCAUACGCCCUGAGGGGGAAANCGGGGGACCGUAAGGCCUCGCGCGAUUAGAGCGGCCGAUAUCUGAUUAGCUUGUGUGGGGUAAAGCCCACCAAGGCGACGAUCAGUAGCUGGUCUGAGAGGACGAUCAGCCACACUGGGACUGAGACACGGCCCAGACUCCUACGGGAGGCAGCAGUGGGGAAUUUUGGACAAUGGGGGCAACCCUGAUCCAGCAAUGCCGCGUGAGUGAAGAAGGCCUCGG